rnacentral:rRNA from 2 species
CAGCCGCCGCGGUAAAACCAGCACCUCAAGUGGUCAGGAUGAUUGUUGGGCCUAAAGCAUCCGUAGCUCGUUUUGUAAGUUUUCGGUUAAAUCCAUACGCUUAACGUAUGGGCUGCCGGGAAUACUGCAUAACUAGGAAGUGGGAGAGGUAGACGGUACUCGGUAGGAAGGGGUAAAAUCCUUUGAUCUAUUGAUGACCACCUGUGGCGAAGGCGGUCUACCAGAACACGUUCGACGGUGAGGGAUGAAAGCUGGGGGAGCAAACCGGAUUAGAUACCCGGGUAGUCCCAGCUGUAAACUAUGCAAACUCAGUGAUGCAUUGGCUUGUGGCCAAUGCAGUGCUGCAGGGAAGCCGUUAAGUUUGCCGCCUGGGAAGUACGUACGCAAGUAUGAAACUUAAAGGAAUUGGCGGGGGAGCAC